rnacentral:siRNA from 1 species
AGCGCAUCCAUGUUGUAUGAGU